rnacentral:rRNA from 1 species
AUCUAAGAGAUUAGACGUUCCCUUCGGGGACAUGGAUACAGGGGGUGCAUGGUUGUCCUCACCUCGUGUCGUGAGAUGUUGGGUUAAUUCCCGCAACGAGCGCAACCCUUAUUAUCAGUUGCCUCCAUUAAAUUGGGGACUCUGGUGAGACUGCCGGUGACAAACCGGAGGAAGGGGGGGAUGACGUCAAAUCAUCAUGCCCCUUAUGACCUGGGCUACACACCUGCUACAAUGGAUGGUACAACAAGUUGCGAACUCCCGAGAGUAAGCUAAUCCCUUAAAGCCAUUCUCAGUUCGGAUUGUAGGCUGCAACUCGCCUACAUGAAGUCGGAAUCGCUAGUAAUCGCGGAUCAGCAUGCCGCGGUGAAUACGUUCCCGGGUCUUGUACACACCGA